rnacentral:rRNA from 1 species
GACGAACGCUGGCGGCGUGCUUAACACAUGCAAGUCGAACGGAAAGGCCCUGCUUUUGUGGGGUGCUCGAGUGGCGAACGGGUGAGUAACACGUGAGUAACCUGCCCUUGACUUUGGGAUAACUUCAGGAAACUGGGGCUAAUACCGGAUAGGAGCUCCUGCUGCAUGGUGGGGGUUGGAAAGUUUCGGCGGUUGGGGAUGGACUCGCGGCUUAUCAGCUUGUUGGUGGGGUAGUGGCUUACCAAGGCUUUGACGGGUAGCCGGCCUGAGAGGGUGACCGGCCACAUUGGGACUAAGAUACGGCCCAGACUCCUACGGGAGGCAGCAGUGGGGAAUAUUGCACAGUGGGCGGAAGCCUGAUGCAGCAGCGCCGCGUGCGGGAUGACGGCCUUCGGGUUGUAAACCGCUUUCGCCUGUGACGAAGCGUGAGUGACGGUAAUGGGUAAAGAAGCACCGGCUAACUACGUG